AUAACUUCUUGGCCUUUUGGCUAAAAUCAAGUGUAGUGUCUGUUCUUACCAGUUUAAUAAUAUGGGAAGGUACGCAGAGAACAAGACUUUUUGUUUGUUUUUAAAGACUUGUUUUUAUUUAUUUGAGAGAGGGAGAAAGAGAGAGAGAGAGAGAGAAUGGGUGCACCAGGGCCUUCAGCCACUGCAAGUGAACUCCA